rnacentral:misc_RNA from 1 species
GAUGAAGAACGCAGUGAAAUGUGAUAAGUAAUGUGAAUUGCAGAAUUCAGUGAAUCAUCGAAUCUUUGAACGCACAUUGCGCCCCUUGGUAUUCCGGGGGGCAUGCCUGUUCGAGCGUCAUUACAACCCUCAAGCUCUGCUUGGUCUUGGGCGUCACCGGUCCCCGGUGUGCCUUAAAAUCAGUGGCGGCGCCAUCUGGCUCUAAGCGUAGUACAUACUCUCGCUACAGACGUCCGGUGGAUGCUGGCCAGCAACCCCCAAUUUAUCAAGGUUGACCUCGGAUCAGGUAGGGAUACCCGCUGAACUUAAGCAUAUCAAUAAGCGGAGGA